rnacentral:tRNA from 7 species
ACGGAAGUAGCUCAGUUGGUUGCCUUUAAUCCGCAGGAUUAAAGGACAUUAGCCUUCCAAGCUGAGGGUCGCGGGUUUGAGCCCCGUCUUCCGCU